rnacentral:rRNA from 1 species
CAAGUCGAGGGGCAGCAGGUCUGUAGCAAUACAGAUGCUGGCGACCGGCAAACGGGUGCGGAACACGUACACAACCUUCCUUUAAGUGGGGAAUAGCCCAGAGAAAUUUGGAUUAAUACCCCGUAAUAUUCUGAAGUGGCAUCACUUUAUAAUUAUAGCUACGGCGCUUAAUGAUGGGUGUGCGUCUGAUUAGGUAGUUGGCGGAGUAAUAGCCCACCAAGCCUACGAUCAGUAACUGGUGUGAGAGCACGACCAGUCACACGGGCACUGAGACACGGGCCCGACUCCUACGGGAGGCAGCAGUAAGGAAUAUUGGGCAAUGGACGCAAGUCUGACCCAGCCAUGCCGCGUGGAGGAUGAAGGUCCUCUGGAUUGUAAACUUCUUUUAUCUGGGAAGAAACCCACCUUUUCUUGGGUGGUUGACGGUACCAGAUGAAUAAGCACCGGCUAACUCCGUGCCAGCAGCCGCGGUAAUACGGAGGGUGCAAGCGUUAUCCGGAUUCACUGGGUUUAAAGGGUGCGUAGGUGGGCAGGUAAGUCAGUGGUGAAAUCCUGUAGCUUAACUACAGAACUGCCAUUGAUACUAUUUGUCUUGAAUACCCUGGAGGUGAGCGGAAUAUGUCAUGUAGCGGUGAAAUGCUUAGAUAUGACAUAGAACAUCUAUUGCGAAGGCAGCUCACUACGGGAAUAUUGACGCUGAGGCACGAAAGCGUGGGGAUCAAACAGGAUUAGAUACCCUGGUAGUCCACGCCCCUAAACGAUGAUCACUCGACAUCC